rnacentral:rRNA from 1 species
CACGUAGGGGACGAGCGUUGUCCGGAUUCAUUGGGCGUAAAGCGCGCGUAGGCGGCUCGGAAAGUCGGUCGUGAAAUGCCGGGGCUCAACCCCGGGACUGCGUCCGAUACUCCCGAGCUGGAGGCAGGUAGGGGAGAUCGGAAUUCCUGGUGUAGCGGUGAAAUGCGCAGAUAUCAGGAGGAACACCGGUGGCGAAGGCGGCCCUCUGGACGGUGACUGACGCUGAGACGCGAAAGCGUGGGGAGCAAACAGG